rnacentral:tRNA from 1 species
GCUGGGAUCAUGGCUCAGUGGCAGAGCGCGGGCCUCACAUGUGUGAGGCACUGGGUUCAAUUCUCAGCACCGCA